rnacentral:tRNA from 1 species
GCGGUCGUGGCGGAAUCGGCAUACGCGCACGCUUGAGGUGCGUGUGAGUUACACUCGUACGGGUUCAAGUCCCGUCGACCGCA